ACCUGGGUAGCUCAGUGGUUGAGCAUCUGCCUUUGGCUCAGGGUGUGAUCCUGGGGUCCUGGGAUCGAGUCCCACAUCAGGUU
rnacentral:tRNA from 1 species